rnacentral:rRNA from 1 species
AGAGUUUGAUCCUGGCUCAGGAUGAACGCUAGCGGCAGGCUUAACACAUGCAAGUCGAGGGGCAGCAUGUCCAGCAAUGGAUGAUGGCGACCGGCGGAAGGGUGCGUAACGCGUGAGCAACAUGCCCUAUACAGGGAGAUACACCAGGGAAACUUGGUCUAAUAUCCCAUAGCAUUCAUUGAAGGCAUCUUUAAUGAAUUAAAGCUUCGGUGGUAUAGGAUUGGCUCGCGUGACAUUAGCCAGAUGGUGAGGUAACGGCUCACCAUAGCAAUGAUGUCUAGGGGUUUUGAGAGGAAGGCCCCCCACACUGGGACUGAGACACGGCCCAGACUCCUACGGGAGGCAGCAGUGAGGAAUAUUGGACAAUGGAUGGAAAUCUGAUCCAGCCAUGCCGCGUGCAGGAAGACGGCCUUAUGGGUUGUAAACUGCUUUUAUACGGGAGCAAUAAGGGUUACGAGUAAUCCGAUGAGAGUACUGUAUGAAUAAGGAUCGGCUAACUCCGUGCCAGCAGCCGCGGUAAUACGGAGGAUCCGAGCGUUAUCCGGAAUUAUUGGGUUUAAAGGGUGCGUAGGCGGCCAUUUAAGUCAGCGGUGAAAUUUUGCAGCUUAACUGUAACAGUGCCGUUGAUACUGUUUGGCUAGGAUUUGGUUGUAGUGUGCGGAAUGUGUGGUGUAGCGGUGAAAUGCUUAGAUAUCACACAGAACGCCGAUUGCGAAGGCAGCAUACUAAGUUUAUACUGACGCUGAUGCACGAAAGCGUGGGGAUCAAACAGGAUUAGAUACCCUGGUAGUCCACGCCGUAAACUAUGAUUACUCGUUGUUUGCGAUAUACUGUAAGCGACUGCGCGAAAGCAUUAAGUAAUCCACCUGGGGAGUACGUUGGCAACAAUGAAACUCAAAGGAAUUGACGGGGGCCCGCACAAGCGGAGGAACAUGUGGUUUAAUUCGAUGAUACGCGAGGAACCUUACCUGGGCUUAAAUGGGAAGUGACAGUUUUGGAAACAAAAUUUUCUUCGGACACUUUUCAAGGUGCUGCAUGGUUGUCGUCAGCUCGUGCCGUGAGGUGUCGGGUUAAGUCCCAUAACGAGCGCAACCCUCGUCGAUAGUUGCCAGCAUGUAAUGAUGGGGACUCUAUCGAGACUGCCGGUGUAAACCGUGAGGAAGGUGGGGAUGACGUCAAAUCAGCACGGCCCUUACGUCCAGGGCUACACACGUGUUACAAUGGUCGGUACAGUGGGCAGCUACUCAGCGAUGAGAUGCUAAUCUUUAAAACCGAUCUCAGUUCGGAUCGGAGUCUGCAACUCGACUCCGUGAAGCUGGAUUCGCUAGUAAUCGCAUAUCAGCCAUGAUGCGGUGAAUACGUUCCCGGGCCUCGUACACACCGCCCGUCA